UACGUAGGGCGCAAGCGUUAUCCGGAAUUAUUGGGCGUAAAGAGCUCGUAGGCGGUUUGUCGCGUCUGCCGUGAAAGUCCGGGGCUCAACUCCGGAUCUGCGGUGGGUACGGGCAGACUAGAGUGAUGUAGGGGAGGACUGGAAUUCCUGGUGUAGCGGUGAAAUGCGCAGAUAUCGAGAGGAACACCUGCGGCGAAGGCGGGUUGCUGGGCUGAUACUGACGCUGAGGCGCGAAAGCUAGGGGAGCGAACGGG
rnacentral:rRNA from 1 species